ACUAAUUGGGAAAACAGGAGACACCUGGAGGUGGGUGGAGACAAUCACAAAGACAGGUGAAACAGAUCAGGGCAGUGACAACUGCUUCAGGUCUGCAAGCCUCCAGAAGUUCCGGCGUGCCUCUCCUGGCAUGGAACAGCUUGGUGGAAACGAGGUUACCUGUUACCCACCGAGCCUGGUUGGCAGAUCUGAAAGAUAGGCACAAUAUCAUUUUAAUCGCAAAGCCUUGACUACACACUAACCUAACUUAAGUGUGUGUGUCGGGCAACCAUGCAGCAGUCUUCCUUUUCCCAAUUGCCCAUUGUACUUGCAAUCUGUGGUGUGUGUGUGUGUGUGUGUUACUGUGACUCAGAAGUGUGUCAACCUGACAUCCAUGUAGCAGGACAUUCAAUUAUUAGCUUUGGAGACAAUUACUAUCAACAGUGUACAGUUAAAAGGAUAUCAAACAUUCAGAUCUGGACUGACAAGUAGGCUAAAUCAUGUGAAGUUACAAAACCUCUAGGGAUUAGCCUAGUCCUAGGACCAUGCCUCAGGAUUACCUGGCCUUACGACUCCUGGCUAUCCCUGUCCCCAGUCCACGUGGUCGUGCUGCUGAUCCAGUCUCUGCCUGCAGCUAUGGAACCCUGACCUGCUCACUGGACUUGCUACCUUCUCCCAUACCCGCUGUUUGACCCUCUCUUUCUACCGGAUCUGCACUCUCAACCUCUAAAGGCUCAGCUAUGAAAAGCCAACUAGAAUUUAAUCCUGUGGUGCUGAACAAUUGCACUGUCUAAAACCACUGUGAUCUAUGAACGUUUAAAAGUCUUGAAGAACGAUCUGGUCCAAAUGGCUGUACUAUUUUAUAAUAUCCACCAGCACAGCCACAAGAGGACUGGCCAACCGUUGGAGCCUGGCUCCUCUCUAUCCAGCACAGCCACAAGAGGACUGGCCAACCAUUGGAGCCUGGCUCCUCUCUAUCCAGCACAGCCACAAGAGGACUGGCCAACCGUUGGAGCCUGGCUCCUCUCUAUCCAGCACAGCCACAAGAGGACUGGCCAACUGUUGGAGCCUGGCUCCUCUCUAUCCAGCACAGCCAUAAGAGGACUGGCCAACCGUUGGAGCCUGGCUCCUCUCUAUCCAGUACAGGUAUAAGAGGACUGGCUAAUCCUCAGAGCCUGGCUCCUCUCUAGGCUUCUUCCUUUCUAGCUAGUUUUCCCUAGCCACUGUGCUUCUACAUCUGCAUUGCGGUUAUCUGUAUAAGCACUUUGUGACAACAGUUGAUGUAAAAGUGGCUUUAUAAAAUCUAUUUGAUUGAUUGAUUGCCUGAAUAUGCUUCUAUUCAUGUCAGUAACUCUAAAUCUAAAUUUGACCUUGUGUUAUCUUACAUUUCCUCAAUAGGAAGUUGUACCAACACUUUUUCCUGGUGUUUCCUGCUGGGGAUUGGAGGCUUCAGGUGUGGGAAUGGAGGACCAAGGGAAUUGGGAUAUUAACAAUGAUUAGAGAAUUGCUGAUGAUAAACCAUGGAUUCUUUGGUUUAACAGCCCUAAACCAUUUCCCUUGCAUUGUCAAUAAGGUUUCUGAACAAACCCAGGUGCAAUAUAAUUAUGGCCCCUGGUUGGUUUUGUGGCGCUAGUCUGAUUUCCCAUAGGGAACACUGUAAACAGGAAGAGGUGCACAAUUACUUCGCCCAGCAGCCGUCACUGAGCUAGCAAGCUAAAGUUAGCUAGAUGCCGGUGGGUGGAGUUUCGAGGGUCGUCAGCUACAUGGGAAACACCUGGGCCCGGUGUCUCCCAGGAUAAAUACACCACUUCCCCAUUCAUGGAGGAGACUCUCUCCAUGCAGACACCUUUAUAGAUUUUGUUGUGUUUCUUGGUGGUUUUUUGCUUUAGCAUCUUUCAACACCCUGCAUUAUCACAUUCAUGCAUGCAAAACACUCACUUACACUACUGAUUACUGAUUACACACACCAUUGUAUAUUAUACUUAGUUAAUAAAUAUAUAUUUUGUUACUCCUUA